CGAGCGAACGCGGAUUAGCCCAAACCAAUAAAGUUUUCUUUAUUGGGGUUGCGGACAUAUCAUAACGAAGAGGUAUCGUAAUUGAAGAGGUUUGGAAAGACCUACCACAGAAGGUAAUAGUCCUGUAUGUUAAACGAGAAGACUUUAGAUAUGAUCCAGAGUACCACGGGACACGUGAAACCCUGUGGGAAGCAGGAGGGACCAC
rnacentral:rRNA from 1 species